UGAAGACAAAUAUGUGAGUGGACAAAGACACUGAGCCAGAGACUACUGUUGUGCAGCCUUUUAGAAGACUUCUAAGACUGGUGACAUGCCUAACAUGGACAUUCAGAAGAUGUGUGUUCUAGAUUGUGAUUUCAAGUUUGGUGUUGAUCUGAGCACCUGAGCAUUAUCUCAAGAAGGAGAGUGAGCUUAGAACUCUCAUGCAGACUUUUGGAUGAACACUCGAACUGCUGUUUCAUCUACCACACAUUCACUGCAAUGGACAGAUGUUCAAGUCUCCAAUGAAGAGCAGGCAGUUCCUGGAAUGUGUUCUACUGACUGAGCCUGAGGCCUCAGAGCUGAAGAGUAGUAGCUAGGAGAAGCUGGAAAACAGUCAUAAGUCUUGAGGGCAUUCAGAACAUCAGAAGUGUAGUGGUCCCAUCCUUAGUGCCCUGAACUGAAUGACUGAAAACCAAUCUAUGAGGCUGAAAAAGUGACAGACACCAGCCAUGCUCAUGCAAUAAUGUUCCGAUUACUACAUACCCUCCUGAAGAUGCCACAGAUAGUAUGGUUACCUUGUUGUUGUUGUUUUGAUUGUUGAUCACUUCUUUCUGUUAUUGUUUUCUUUUAAGUUUUGAAGGACAUGUUGAUAGUUUUUUUCUAUAUUAAUUAUCUACUGGCAUUAAAUUCCAGCAACCAAUUGCUUAAAUGCUUCACAUGUUCUACUCUAUUUGGAGAUCACAAAGUAUGUACAUC